UCGAAAAGCAAAUCGGUUUGACCCUUUUUGAUAAACCCGUCUUCAUUUUCCCAAAAAAAAAAUCUAGACAUUUCCCCCAAAUCACAAAGCAAGAGGAAACCCGCAUGCUUCUUCAUCGCCGACAUUUGGACCACUGAUCGGCGCGCACCAUUGGCCACCGUGCGAAGACGACAGCCCACCAAAACCCAACGUCAAAAUAGCAUUUGAAGACGGCAGUCGAAUCGUAGAUGCUAGGCAAAGGUAUUUUGUUAAUUACUGAUUUAUGCAUUUCUUUAUCAAAUUUAAGGUUAAUUUAUGGUUAAGCUGUCUUAGACUUGUUUACAUGAUUUGGGUGUUAUUUCCUCUUUAUUUAGACAAAUUUGAAGUACGUUGGUUGUGGAGCCUGACCGUUGAUAAAGUUGAAGUAUUUGAUUUCUUGUUCUUCCUAAAUUAGUGAGAUUUUUCAUAAAUUUCUGAGUCUGAUUGUUAAGUUCAUUUUUCAUAAAGAGGGGUAUUUUGUUCUAGGCAAAGGUAUUUUUCAAAAAUUUCUGGGCAAAGGUAUUUUGUUCAUUUUUCAAUAAAGGGGUAUUUUUCGUAUAGAGUAUACUUAAGUAUGCCUACUUUUGUUAAGCUACCAUACGAAUUAUGCUGAAGUGUGCCUACUUUUGUAUGCUAAGCAUGAAGGCAAUUCUGGUUUCAUUGAGGUUGAAUGCAGCCAUAUCCUCUGCGUGUUCAUAAAUGGCAUAAGAAUAGAAGCCCGAAGAAUCACGAAGCAUUAUGAACAUGAAGCAUGUAUCAUAAUAUAAGCACCAAUUCUUUAUAAUAAAACACAACAAUGAUAUCAAGAUUAUAAGCAGCAGCAGUACUGCAAUGAUGCACCUUUUGUCUAUGGGGAAGGGAGCAUGUUAGCCCCCAAAUGAGGGAUCCCAUGUCCUUUUGAAUGAGACUUCUAUUUGUUCCUCAUUUUCCACUAUAACUUUGUUUGUAAUGUGUUGUUAUUCUUAAGUUUGAAUGUGGGAUUUCAAAUCUUAGUUGCAUUCAUGUGAGAUUAUUUGUUUCGUUAGCAGUUGUUGAGUAGAAUUGAUGUGUGUUUUUUCACAUUUAUUUAGGUCACAAACAUGACUUAAAAACGAGCAAAAUGAUUGAAUUGUGACUUAAUCUUGUACAUUUGUGAAUUGUAGGGAACAACGAUGAGCAUGGUGAAAUUCAGGAUAAAAGACGCGAAAAUUGACUAAAGUGACGCAAAGUGAAAGUUCAGGGACCAAAAGUGCAAAUAUCCAAAAGUUGAUCCGAUAGACAAAUCGAGAAAUCGAUUAGGCCAAUUACCAAUUGACGAUAUCGUGGGGUGAUGAAAUGAAAAGAAUGAAGAGAAGAUGCUAAGAAGUGAAUGAUACAAGUGGGAGGACCAAAACACACUUAUUUCAUAGUUGAUAGUACUAUCCUCUAUACGGUCGCAUAGUACCAUACCGAAACCAAAGAGGGUUGAAAAGUUUACUCUAUGCGACCGCAUAGAAUUGCAAUAUUGAGGAAAAAUUUAGUUUCAUUUUUCUUCCGAAACUCUUAUGGAAAUAACAAUUUUAGGGUCCUCUAAAUACAAAAACUCGACCAGAACAUAGGGGACGCCAUUUUUACAUAUUUUUGGGAGUUUUUGAAGGAGAAACGAGAGAGAGAACAAGAGAACAAUAUCGCGCCAAGUGAAGAUCGGAUUGAAGAUUGAUUCGGGUGAUGUCGUUUCUUCAAAUAUUUUUAAGUUUUGUUCUUUUUGGCAUGUUAGGCUAGAUUUAUUACUACUAGGAGAUCGAUGAACCUUGUAAUACUACAUUUAAUUGUUGUUUUGAAUUUUUGACGUAUGUGAACACAAAUUUCGGAAUUGAUUGAUUUAUUUCGUUUUUAUUUUCAUAUAAUUAUUGUGCACGUAAUUAUAUGAUUGUGGUGACCUAUUU
rnacentral:lncRNA from 1 species